rnacentral:rRNA from 1 species
CCUACGGGAGGCAGCAGUGAGGAAUAUUGGUCAAUGGACGAGAGUCUGAACCAGCCAAGUAGCGUGAAUGAUGACUGCCCUAUGGGUUGUAAACUUCUUUUAUAUGGGAAUAAAAUGUUCCACGUGUGUGAUUUGGUAUGUCCCAUAUGAAUACGGAUCGGCUAAUUACGUGCCAGCAGCAGCGGUAAUACGGAGGAUCCGAGCGUUAUCCGGAUUUAUUGGGUGUAAAGGGAGCGUAGUGGGAUUUUUAAGUCGGGUGUGAAAGUUUGCGGCUCAACCGUGCAACUUCAGUUGAAACUGGCAGGCUUGAGUACAGUAGAGGUGGGCGGAAUUCGUGGUGUAGCGGUGAAAUGCGUAGAUAUCACGAAGAACUCCGAUGGCGAAGGCAGCUCACUGGACUGCAACUGACGCUGAGGCUCGAAAGUGUGGGUAUCAAACAGGAUUAGAUACCCUAGUAGUC